UUCCGGUUGAUCCCGCCGGACCUGACUGCUAUCGGAUUGAUACUAAGCCAUGCGAGUCAUUGCAGUAAUGCAAGGCAGACGGCUCAGUAACACGUAGUCAACCUACCCUAUGGACGAGGAUAAUCUCGGGAAACUGAGGAUAAUACUCGAUAGAUCAUUAUGCCUGGAAUGGUUUAUGAUUAAAACGAUUCGUCGCCAUAGGAUGGGACUGCGGCCUAUCAGCUUGUUGGUGAGGUAAUGGCCCACCAAGGCAAUUACAGGUACGGGCUCUGAGAGGAGAAGCCCGGAGAUGGGUACUGAGACAAGGACCCAGGCCCUAUGGGGCGCAGCAGGCGAGAAAACUUUGCAAUGUGCGAAAGCACGACAAGGUUAAUCCGAGUGAUUUCUGCUAAAGGAAUCUUUCACCAGUUCUAAAAAUACUGGCGAAUAAGGGGUGGGCAAGUUCUGGUGUCAGCCGCCGCGGUAAAACCAGCACCUCAAGUGGUCAGGAGGAUUAUUGGGCCUAAAGCAUCCGUAGCCGGCUCUGUAAGUUUUCGGUUAAAUCUAUAUGCUCAACGUAUAGGCUGCCGAAAAUACUGCACAGCUAGGGAAUGGGAGAGGUAGACGGUACUCGGUAGGAAGGGGUAAAAUCCUUUGAUCUAUCGAUGACCACCUGUGGCGAAGGCGGUCUACCAGAACAUGUUCGACGGUGAGGGAUGAAAGCUGGGGGAGCAAACCGGAUUAGAUACCCGGGUAGUCCCAGCUGUAAACGAUGCAGACUCGAUAAUGCAUUGGCACAUAGCCAGUGCAGUGUCGCAGGGAAGCCGUUAAGUCUGCCGCCUGGGAAGUACGUACGCAAGUAUGAAACUUAAAGGAAUUGGCGGGGGAGCACCACAAGGGGUGAAGCCUGCGGUUCAAUUGGAUUCAACGCCGGA
rnacentral:rRNA from 1 species